rnacentral:rRNA from 1 species
GUCUACAGCCAUGCCACCCUGAACAAACCUGAUGUCUGAUCACAGAAGCUAAGGAGGGUCGGGCCUGGUUAUUACUUGGAUAGAAGACCACCUAGGAAGACCAAGUAUUAUAGGCA